UGCCAUUAUAAAUUUCACCUCUCCUGUGC
rnacentral:piRNA from 1 species